GGUUAAGCGACUAAGCGUACACGGUGGAUGCCCUGGCAGUCAGAGGCGAUGAAGGACGUGCUAAUCUGCGAAAAGCGUCGGUAAGGUGAUAUGAACCGUUAUAACCGGCGAUGUCCGAAUGGGGAAACCCAGUGUGAUUCGUCACACUAUCGUUAACUGAAUACAUAGGUUAACGAGGCGAACCGGGGGAACUGAAACAUCUAAGUACCCCGAGGAAAAGAAAUCAACCGAGAUUCCCCCAGUAGCGGCGAGCGAACGGGGAGCAGCCCAGAGUCUGAAUCAGCUUGUGUGUUAGUGGAACGGUCUGGAAAGUCCGACGGUACAGGGUGAUAGUCCCGUACACCAAAAUGCACAGGUUGUGAACUCGAAGAGUAGGGCGGGACACGUGGUAUCCUGUCUGAAUAUGGGGGGACCAUCCUCCAAGGCUAAAUACUCCUGACUGACCGAUAGUGAACCAGUACCGUGAGGGAAAGGCGAAAAGAACCCCGGCGAGGGGAGUGAAAAAGAACCUGAAACCGUGUACGUACAAGCAGUGGGAGCACCUUCGGGUGUGACUGCGUACCUUUUGUAUAAUGGGUCAGCGACUUAUAUUCUGUAGCAAGGUUAACCGUAUAGGGGAGCCGCAGGGAAACCGAGUCUUAACUGGGCGUUAAGUUGCAGGGUAUAGACCCGAAACCCGGUGAUCUAGCCAUGGGCAGGUUGAAGGUUGGGUAACACUAACUGGAGGACCGAACCGACUAAUGUUGAAAAAUUAGCGGAUGACUUGUGGCUGGGGGUGAAAGGCCAAUCAAACCGGGAGAUAGCUGGUUCUCCCCGAAAGCUAUUUAGGUAGCGCCUCGUGAACUCAUCUUCGGGGGUAGAGCACUGUUUCGGCUAGGGGGUCAUCCCGACUUACCAACCCGAUGCAAACUACGAAUACCGAAGAAUGUUAUCACGGGAGACACACGGCGGGUGCUAACGUCCGUCGUGAAGAGGGAAACAACCCAGACCGCCAGCUAAGGUCCCAAAGUCACAGUUAAGUGGGAAACGAUGUGGGAAGGCACAGACAGCCAGGAUGUUGGCUUAGAAGCAGCCAUCAUUUAAAGAAAGCGUAAUAGCUCACUGGUCGAGUCGGCCUGCGCGGAAGAUGUAACGGGGCUAAACUGUGCACCGAAGCUGCGGCAGCGACACUAUGUGUUGUUGGGUAGGGGAGCGUUCUGUAAGCCUGCGAAGGUGGCCUGUGAGGGUUGCUGGAGGUAUCAGAAGUGCGAAUGCUGACAUAAGUAACGAUAAUGCGGGUGAAAAGCCCGCACGCCGGAAGACCAAGGGUUCCUGUCCAACGUUAAUCGGGGCAGGGUGAGUCGACCCCUAAGGCGAGGCCGAAAGGCGUAGUCGAUGGGAAACAGGUUAAUAUUCCUGUACUUGGUGUUACUGCGAAGGGGGGACGGAGAAGGCUAUGUUAGCCGGGCGACGGUUGUCCCGGUUUAAGCAUGUAGGCGGAGGUUCCAGGUAAAUCCGGUACCUUAUUAACGCUGAGGUGUGAUGACGAGGCACUACGGUGCUGAAGUAACAAAUGCCCUGCUUCCAGGAAAAGCCUCUAAGCAUCAGGUAACAUUGAAUCGUACCCCAAACCGACACAGGUGGUCAGGUAGAGAAUACCAAGGCGCUUGAGAGAACUCGGGUGAAGGAACUAGGCAAAAUGGUGCCGUAACUUCGGGAGAAGGCACGCUGAUAUGUAGGUGAAGCCCCUGCGGGUGGAGCUGAAAUCAGUCGAAGAUACCAGCUGGCUGCAACUGUUUAUUAAAAACACAGCACUGUGCAAACACGAAAGUGGACGUAUACGGUGUGACGCCUGCCCGGUGCCGGAAGGUUAAUUGAUGGGGUUAUCCGUAAGGAGAAGCUCUUGAUCGAAGCCCCGGUAAACGGCGGCCGUAACUAUAACGGUCCUAAGGUAGCGAAAUUCCUUGUCGGGUAAGUUCCGACCUGCACGAAUGGCGUAAUGAUGGCCAGGCUGUCUCCACCCGAGACUCAGUGAAAUUGAACUCGCUGUGAAGAUGCAGUGUACCCGCGGCAAGACGGAAAGACCCCGUGAACCUUUACUAUAGCUUGACACUGAACAUUGAGCCUUGAUGUGUAGGAUAGGUGGGAGGCUUUGAAGCGUGGACGCCAGUCUGCGUGGAGCCAACCUUGAAAUACCACCCUUUAAUGUUUGAUGUUCUAACGUUGGCCCCUUAUCGGGGUUGCGGACAGUGUCUGGUGGGUAGUUUGACUGGGGCGGUCUCCUCCCAAAGAGUAACGGAGGAGCACGAAGGUUAGCUAAUCCUGGUCGGACAUCAGGAGGUUAGUGCAAUGGCAUAAGCUAGCUUGACUGCGAGCGUGACGGCGCGAGCAGGUGCGAAAGCAGGUCAUAGUGAUCCGGUGGUUCUGAAUGGAAGGGCCAUCGCUCAACGGAUAAAAGGUACUCCGGGGAUAACAGGCUGAUACCGCCCAAGAGUUCAUAUCGACGGCGGUGUUUGGCACCUCGAUGUCGGCUCAUCACAUCCUGGGGCUGAAGUAGGUCCCAAGGGUAUGGCUGUUCGCCAUUUAAAGUGGUACGCGAGCUGGGUUUAGAACGUCGUGAGACAGUUCGGUCCCUAUCUGCCGUGGGCGCUGGAGAAUUGAGGGGGGCUGCUCCUAGUACGAGAGGACCGGAGUGGACGCAUCACUGGUGUUCGGGUUGUCAUGCCAAUGGCAUUGCCCGGUAGCUAAAUGCGGAAGAGAUAAGUGCUGAAAGCAUCUAAGCACGAAACUUGCCCCGAGAUGAGUUCUCCCUGAGACUUUAAGUCUCCUGAAGGAACGUUAAAGACGAUGACGUUGAUAGGUCGGGUGUGUAAGCGUAGCGAUACGUUGAGCUAACCGAUACUAAUGAACCGUGAGGCUUAACCUU
rnacentral:rRNA from 1 species